AGUCGAACGGCAGCACGGACGGUCUGGUGGCGAGUGGCGAACAGGUGGUAAUGUAUCGGAACGUGCCCUGGCGGGGGAUCGCUUGCGCGAAGGCGUAUGUACCGCAUACGCCCUUCGAGAAAGCGAGACCUUCAGGGCCUCGCACUAUUAGAGCGGCCGAUAUCGGAUUGGCUAGUUGGUGGGGGUAACGGCUCGCAAGGCGACGUCCGUAGCUGGUUUGAGAGGACGACCAGCCACACUGGGACUGAGACACGGCCCAGUCCUACGGGAGGCAGCAGUGGGGGAAUUUUGGACAAUGGGGAAGCGCAGUCCAGCCAUCCCGCGUGUGCGAUGAAGGCCUUCAGGUUUGUAAAGCACUUUUGGCAGGAAAGAAACGGCACGGGAUAAUACCCCGUGCAACUGACAGUACCUGCAGAAUAAGCACCGGCUAACUACGUGCCAGCAGCCGCGGUAAUACGUAGGGUGCAGCGUUAAUCGGAAUUACUGGGCGUAAAGCGUGCGCAGGCGGUUCGGAAAGAAAGAUGCUGAAAUCAGGCUUAGCUUUGGGGCGUUGCAUUUUUUAACUACCGAGCUAGAGAGUGUGUCAGAGGGAGGCGGAAUUCCGCGUGUAGCAGUGAAAUGCGUAGAUAUGCGGAGGAACACCGAUGGCGAAAGCAGCCUCCUGGGAUAACACUGACGCUCAUGCUGGCGUGAGAACAGAGCAAGGGUUAGAUACCCUGGUAGUCCACGCCUAAACGAUGUCAACUAGCUGUUGGGGCCUUCGGGCCUUGGUAGCGCAGCUAACGCGUGAAGUUGACCGCCUGGGAAAUUACGGUCGCAAGAUUAAAACUCAAAGGAAUUGACGGGGACCCGCACAAGCAGUGGAUGUGGAUUAAUUCGAUGCAACGCAAAACCUUACCUACCCUUGACAUGUCUGGAAUCCCGAAGAGAUUUGGGAGUGCUCGCAAGAGAACCGGAACACAGGUGCUGCAUGGCUGUCGUCAGCUCGUGUCGUGAGAUGUUGGGUUAAGUCCGCAACGAGCAAACCCUUGUCAUUAGUUGCUACAAAGGGCACUCUAAUGAGACUGCCGGUGACAAACCGGAGGAAGGUGGGGAUGACGUCAGUCCUCAUGGCCCUUAUGGGUAGGGCUUCACACGUCGCUACAAUGGUCGGGACAGAGGGUCGCCAACCCGCGAGGGGAGCCAAUCCCAGAAACCCGAUCGUAGUCCGGAUCGCAGUCUGCAACUCGACUGCGUGAAGUCGAAGUCGCUAGUAAUCGCGGAUCAGCAUGUCGCGGUGAAUACGUGCUCCGGGUCUUGUACACACCGCCCGUCACACCAUGGGAGUGGGUUUUACCAGAAGUAGUUAGCCUAACCGUAAGGAGGGCGAUUACCACGGUAGGAUUCAUGACUGCAGGGUGAAGUCGUAACAAGGUAA
rnacentral:rRNA from 1 species